rnacentral:rRNA from 1 species
CCUACGGGUUGCUGCAGUGAGGAAUAUUGGUCAAUGGCCGGAAGUCUGAACCAGCCAAGCCGCGUGAAGGACGAAGGUGCCAAGCAUUGUAAACUUCUUUUGUCAAGGAACAAAAUCAGGCUCGAGAGCCUGACCGAGGGUACUUUAAGAAAACGCAUCGGCAAACCCCGUGCCAGCAGCCGCGGUAAUACGGAGGGUGCGCGCGUUCUCCGGAUUUAUGGGGUUUAAAGGGUGCGUAGGCGGACUGUUAAGUCAGCGGUAAAAGCCCGGGGUGCAACCCCGGCGAGCCGUUGAAACUGGCUGUCUUGAGAUGUCGAGAGGUAUGCGGAAUGCGCAGUGUAGCGGUGAAAUGCUUAGAUAUUGCGCAGAACUCCGAUUGCGAAGGCAGCAUACCGGCGGCGAUCUGACGCUGAGGCACGAAAGCGUGGGUAUCGAACAGGAUUAGAUACCCGUGUAGUC